UUUGGGUAAAAAUUGCCAUUUUUGGAAUCAUUGGGGGCGAAUUUGGGUCAAAAAAUGCCAUUUUGGGGUCAUGGGGGCCAUUUUGGGGUGGAAAAUGCCAUUUUUGGGGUCAUGGGGAGCCAUUUUGGGGUGGAAAAUGGCAUUUUGGGAUCAUUGGGGGCCGUUUUGGGGUGGAAAAUGCCGUUUGGGGGUCAUUGGGCACCAUUUUAGGUUGAAAAAUGCCAUUUUGGGGUCAUUGGGAGCCACUUUGGGUCAAAAAAUCCCAUUUUGGUGCCAUUUUGGGAGCAUUUGGAGUCAAUGGGUGCCACUUUGGGUCAAAAAAUGCCAUUUUGGGGUCAUUGGGAGCCAUUUUGGGGUCAUUUGGGGAGCAUUUGGGGUCAUUGAGGUCGAUUUUGGGUCGAAAAAUCCCAUUUUGGGGUCAUUGGGGGCCAUUUUGGGUCAGAAAAUGCCAUUUUGGGGUCAUUUUGGGUGCCACUUUGGGUCAAAAAAUGCCAUUUUGGGGUCAUUGGGAGCCAUUUUAGGUUGAAAAAUGCCAUUUUGGGGUCAGUGGGCGCCAUUUUGUGUCAGAAAUCCCCCUUUUGGGGUCAUCGGGUGCCAUUUUGGGAUGAAAAACGCCAUUUUGGGGCCACUGGUUGCCACUGUGGGUCAGGAAAUGCCCCUCGGGGGCCACAUUGCCCCGAUUUUGGGGUAAAAAAGGCCGAUUUUGGUGCAUUCUGCCCUCAGAGCUCCGGUGCCCACAGAGUUUGACUUCGAGGACGAACCCACGGCGCCUCGCAGCGCCCUGAUGGAGCGCCGCCGCACCCCAGGUCCCACAGAUUUGGGUCAAAUUCCCCCGGAUUUGGGUUUCUCUCUUGUUUGGGGUCGUUUCUGCCCUUUUUGGGGUCGUUUCUGCCUCUUUUUGGGGCCGUUUCUGCCUCUUUUUGGGGUCGUUUCUGCCCUUUUUGGGGCCGUUUCUGCCUCUUUUUGGGGUCGUUUCUGCCUCUUUUUGGGGUCGUUUCUGCCUCUUUUGGGGCCAGUUUUGGGCCAAAUUCCCCCCAAUUUGGGUUUCUCUCUUUUUUGAGGGCUGUCUCUGCCUCUUUU
rnacentral:lncRNA from 1 species